GUCGGUAAAACUCGUGCCAGCCACCGCGGUUAUACGAGAGGCCCAAGCUGAUAAUCAUCGGCGUAAAGGGUGGUUAGGAUAAAUUGAAGACUAAAGCCGAAAGCCCUCACAGCUGUUAUACGCACUCGAGGGUAAGAAGCCCAACUACGAAAGUGGCUUUACAACAUCCGAACCCACGAAAGCUAGGGCACAAACUGGGAUUAGAUACCCCACUAUG
rnacentral:rRNA from 1 species